CAUCCAUCCAUCCACCCAGCAAGUAUUUACUGAGGACCUACUAUAUGUUGGUCAUAGAUGAUAAGUCUUUAGAGGACACUGAAUGUGUUUGCGUAAGUUUGCUUGCAGAGUUAUGCCCAUGACAGCACCUCACUCCGUUAAUAAAUACUUUUUGAUGGGUGGGGAGUGGUGUGUGUAGAGAUAAAGACAAAGACAAACAUCGUGAGUGACCAAAAAUAAGCCUGUGAGACCAUCUGAAUUAACUGUGAUUAUCAUCAAAUUAUAAUAUAUUAUAUUUAUUAUAUAUACAACAUUAUAAAUACAAA